UACGGAGGGUGCGAGCGUUGUCCGGAAUCACUGGGCGUAAAGGGCGCGUAGGCGGCCUGAUAAGUAGGGGGUGAAAUCCUGCGGCUUAACCGCAGGGCUGCCUUCUAAACUGUCAGGCUCGAGCACAGUAGAGGCAGGUGGAAUUCCCGGUGUAGCGGUGGAAUGUGUAGAGAUCGGGAAGAACAUCAGUGGCGAAGGCGGCCUGCUGGGCUGUUGCUGACGCUGAGGCGCGACAGCGUGGGGAGCAAACAGG
rnacentral:rRNA from 1 species